CAUUCAUUCAAAUUGAGAUUCAAACGAUCGAGGCAUGCUAAAUCGGGAAAUUCAAACUCAAUUGUUACCGAUUUCGAACUGCAAAUUUCUCUCGCAAUUUUGAUAGUUCUCGCAGCUUUCCUCUUCAAAUCACCGUCGAAAGCUUGAGAGGACUGAGGAAGAAGAUCGAUCUUACUUCCCGAUCCAGAGAAGCCGACGAAGACGUCCGGAGACGGUUUGACGUGAACGACGACGAGCUUGAACGGAUGUAUUCGUAUCGUUUGAGAGAAGAAUUGGUCCAGCGUCCAUUCCAGGGUGGCGAUUGCACAUUCGCUGUCGUCGACUCCAAUUACCAUGACUGGCUUUGAUGCUGCCGCCGCCAUCGCCGCCGUCGAGAGGAUUUUCAGAACACCGCCUGCGUUUUGGGGAUUGAUAAAACGGUUUGUAACAGAGGAGAGGAAGAACGCGGCGGCGCUUUCUUUAUUCGGUUAAAAGGGGAGUUUGUCCACGUGGCAGGACGUGUUCAGCAAAUGUGGCUCACUAAGGCACUCCUACAGAUUUUGAAGCGCAAAUUUCUCUGGUAAUCUUGAUAGUUCUUGCAGCUUUCCGCUUUAAAUUACCGAACAAAAAUUGGUAAGUUCCAAUCAAUCCUGCAAUUCCUGUUUGCCUCUCUAAGAACUUGAUUACAGAUUAUAGAUGCAUAACGGUUAGAAAGUAAUUAACAAAGAAGAAGACUGAGGAGGAAGAUCGAACUUACUUGUCGAGCCAAAUAUGCUGACUAAGAAGCCCAGAGACGGUUUGACGUGAACGUCGACGAGCUUGUCAGCAAAUGUGGCUUCCAAAAAUAUUCCUAGAGGUACACUUGUUUUAUGUUUCUGAAAAAGUAACACUUUUCACUAAUUGUAAAAGAAUUGUUCCUUAUAUCGUGUAAGAACAAAGUUCACAAAACCUACACCAGAUAAGAGUAGAACAGAGGAAUUUGAAGAUUUCUGGAACACAAACCACUCUCAAAUCACACAAAUAAAGGAAGCUUUAUUAUUACAGAGCUUUGGGAUUCACAAUUCGUAUCAAAUACAACACCCCUUCACUGUUUUAAUUUUAUUUGAUGAUUAUACAAAUCUGUAGGAUUCUCCAAAUUACUAUAUCAUUUGGGAUCCCUUUAGUUAUCACUCUCGACAAAAGGACCAAAAUGCAAAUGAGAUCUAGUGCUUGGUUUUGGGCUUCUUUACAAUCAUCACGGUGCAGUGAGCAUGAUGAGCACAAUAAUCACUAACACUCCCUAAAAC